ensembl:lncRNA LINC02576 long intergenic non-protein coding RNA 2576
GUUCUGUGUAAAGCUGAUGGUGCUGUUCACAUCAGAAAUUGCAGCACUGAAGAACAGAGUUCAUGCAGACUUUUACAACAUGCAUCAGCUACAGCAUUUGUUUGUUGAUGGUACCAGCUGUCAAAAACCAAGCAAGUGGCAGUGCUAGAGGUGCCACAAAAGUGCGAAGGAAGUGUCAGGCUGGAUGUCAAAAUGAACACCUUGGAGAACUGGAUGAUGGAACAGACGGUAAAAAUCAGCUAAACAUCAGAGAAAAUGGAGGAAGAGGUCAAAACUGUGAACAGGAACUAGAAGAAAGUGUAGCAGAAAAAGACUUGUCACAAACUUCGAGAGAUUUGGAGAAAAUGAUGUCAAAACACAUCUUCCUCAAGCCCAUGCUGAGUAUCUCUGAUUUGGUUAAUUUCUUGCUGGCACCCUCUCUACGUCUCUGCCAUCUGUCACCUAGACAACACAGCAUCUUCCAAAUGAGUGCCUCUAUUUCCAGGGUGAUCUUAAAACAGAAAUCAGAUUUUCACCCCUGCUGAAUAUCCUUCAGGGUCUCUUCUCUGCACCCAGCUGGAAUCCAAACACUGGUCCAGGAAGCCCCGCCUGCCUCUCCUGCCUCACCCAGAUGGCUCUACCCUUUGCCCACCUCACUUCAGCCACAGUGGCCUCACCUAAGUGCCUCCACAUUUGGUAUCUAUUCAUUCUCUAGCCAGUGCACCUCAGAAUGCCUGGAAUUCAGCUGGGCAUGGUGGCCCAUUCCUGUAAUUCCAGCACUUUGUGAGGCCAAGGUGGGUGGAUCACUUGAGGUCAGGAGUUCGAGACCAGCCUGACCAACAUGGGGAACCCCCGUCUCUACCGAAAAUACAAAAAUUAGUUGGGCAUAGUGGUGCGUGCCUGUAAUCCCAGCCACUCUGGAGGCCGAGGUAGGAGAAUUGCUUGAACCUGGAGGUGGAGGUUGCAGUGAGCCAAGAUUGUGCCACUGCACUCCAGCCUGGGCGACACAGCAAGAUUCUGUCUCAAACAAACAAACAAACAAAUAAAAAGAAUGCCUGGAAUUCCUGUCCUUUCCCA